UCAAGCUACAAAGAGCACAAGGGGAAUGCCUUGGCACCGAGAGCCGAAGAAGGACGUGACUAACUGCGAUAAGCUACGGGGAGCUGUAAGUGAGCGUUAUAUCCGUAGAUUUCCGAAUGGAGCAAUCCGAUUAGAGGAAAGUCUAAUCAUCAUAUACUGAAUACAUAGGUAUAUGAGGGGAACCGCCUGAACUGAAACAUCUAAGUAGGGCGAGGAAGAGAAAUCAACAGAGAUUCCGUAAGUAGUGGCGAGCGAACGCGGAAGAGGCCAAACCUAAUGUAGUAAUAUGUUAGGGGUUCGGACAGUAAAAUGAAUUGUCGAGAUUUAGCCGAAUGUCAUGGGAAGGGCAAUCAAAGAAGGUGAAAAUCCUGUAGGCGAAAAGUUAAGACAUCAGACUGUAUCCAGAGUACCGCCGGACACGUGAAACCCGGUGGGAAUACGGGGGGACCAUCCUCCAAGCCUAAAUACUACUCGGUGACCGAUAGAGAAGAAGUACUGUGAAGGAAAGGUGAAAAGCACCCCGGAAGGGGAGUGAAAGAGAACCUGAAACCUUGUGUUUACAAGCACCGAAAGUUCAUCAACGAACGAUCGGGUACCUUUUGUAGAAUGGUCCGGCGAGUGAAUGUAACUGGCAAGGUUAAGCACUUAAGGUGUGAAGCCGUAGCGAGAGCGAGUCUGAAAAGGGCGCAUGAAGUCAGUUGUAUUCGACCCGAAACCGGGUGACCUACCCAUGUCCAGGCUGAAGUGCAGGUAAAACUUCAUGGAGGGCCGAACCGACUCCCGUUGAAAUGGUAGCGGAUGAGGUGUGGGUAGCGGAGAAAUUCCAAUCGAACCCGGAGAUAGCUGGUUCUCUCCGAAAUAGCUUUAGGGCUAGCCUUGGAAUAGAUUACUGGAGGUAAAGCACUGAAUUGGCUAGGGGCCGAGAGGUUACUGAACCUUAUCAAACUAAGAAUGCCAGAUAAUCGUUUUCCAGGAGUCAGACAGUGGGAGAUAAGUUUCAUUGUCAAAAGGGAAACAGCCCAGACCUACAGCUAAGGUCCCAAAGUAUAGUUAAGUGGAAAAGGAUGUGGAAUUGCAUAGACAACCAGGAUGUUGGCUUAGAAGCAGCCACUCAUUAAAAGAGUGCGUAAUAGCUCACUGGUCGAGUGAUUCUGCGCCGAAAAUUUAACGGGGCUAAACUAUACACCGAAGCUUAGGAUACCGCAAGGUAUGGUAGGAGAGCGUUCUGUACGGAGUGAAGUCGUAGCGAAAGCGGCGGUGGACUGUACAGAAGUGAGAAUGCCGGAAUAAGUAGCGAGAAUUAAGUGAGAAUCUUAAUGGCCGAAAGUCUAAGGUUUUUGGAGGAAGGUUCGUCCGCUCCAAGUAAGUCGGGAGCUAAGGUCAGGCCGAAAGGCGUAGCCGAUGCACAAACGGUUGAUAUUCCGUUACCGUCUACAAUUUAAACAAAGGGACACAUACAAAGCGUUUAACCCGGGCGAUGGUUGACCCGGGCGCAAGGGACUGAAAUUAGAGUAGGGAAGUAAAUGUGGCGUAUGGCGAGAAAAGCUUUGUGUAUAGAAGUAGACGCCCGUACCGCAAACCGACACAGGUGGACAGGAAGAGAAUUCUAAGGCCAGCGGGAGAAGGGUAGUUAAGGAACUCGGCAAAUUGACUCCGUAACUUCGGAAUAAGGAGUGCUCGAAAGAGCCGCAGAGAAUAGGCCCAGGCGACUGUUUAGCAAAAACACAGGUCUCUGCCAAAUCGAAAGAUGAAGUAUAGGGGCUGACACCUGCCCGGUGCCGGAAGGUUAAGAGGAGGAGUGCAAGCUCCGAAUUGAAGCCCCGGUAAACGGCGGCCGUAACUAUAACGGUCCUAAGGUAGCGAAAUUCCUUGUCGGGUAAGUUCC
rnacentral:rRNA from 1 species